rnacentral:rRNA from 1 species
AUCUGCAGCCAUAUCACCCUGUAACUCACAACUAGCAACCCACUGAAGCUAAGCAGGUGUGAGCCUGGUCAGUACCUGGAUGGGAGACCUCCUGAGAAAAACUAAGGUUGCUGCUGAAA